rnacentral:rRNA from 1 species
CUACGGGUGGCUCCAGUGAGGAAUAUUGCACAAUGGGGGGAACCCUGAUGCAGCAACGCCGCGUGGAGGAUGACGCAUUUCGGUGUGUAAACUCCUUUUAUAUGUCAAGAAAAUGACGGUAGCAUAUGAAUAAGCACCGGCUAACUCCGUGCCAGCAGCCGCGGUAAUACGGAGGGGUGCAAGCGUUACUCGGAAUCACUGGGCGUAAAGGACGCGUAGGCGGGCUUGUAAGUCAGGUGUGAAAUCCUACAGCUUAACUGUAGAACUGCACUUGAAACUACGAGCCUAGAGUAUGGGAGGGGCAGAUGGAAUUAGUGGUGUAGGGGUAAAAUCCGUAGAUAUCACUAGGAAUACCUAAAGCGAAGGCGAUCUGCUGGAACAUAACUGACGCUAAGGCGUGAAAGCGUGGGGAGCAAACAGGAUUAGAUACCCCGGUAGUC